rnacentral:rRNA from 1 species
GGGAUUGCCCUAGUAACGGCGAGUGAAGCGGCAACAGCUCAAAUUUGAAAUCUGGCGCAAGCCCGAGUUGUAAUUUGUAGAGGAUGCUUCUAGGUAGCGACCGGUCUAAGUUCCUUGGAACAGGACGUCAUAGAGGGUGAGAAUCCCGUAUGUGACCGGCCCGCACCUUCUACGUAGCUCCUUCGACGAGUCGAGUUGUUUGGGAAUGCAGCUCUAAAUGGGAGGUAAAUUUCUUCUAAAGCUAAAUACCGGCCAGAGACCGAUAGCGCACAAGUAGAGUGAUCGAAAGAUGAAAAGCACUUUGGAAAGAGAGUUAAAAAGCACGUGAAAUUGUUGAAAGGGAAGCGCUUACAACCAGACUUCUGGGCGGUGUUCCGCCGGUCUUCUGACCGGUCUACUCACCGUCCCGAGGCCAACAUCAUCUGGGACCGCCGGAUAAGACCUUAGGAAUGUAGCUCCCCUCGGGGAGUGUUAUAGCCUGUGGUGAUGCGGCGCGUCUCGGGUGAGGUCCGCGCUUCGGCAAGGAUGUUGGCGUAAUGGUUGUCAGCGGCCCGUCUUGAAACACGGACCAAGGAGUCUAACAUCUAUGCGAGUGUUCGGGUGUCAAACCCCUACGCGUAAUGAAAGUGAACGGAGGUGGGAAGGGUAACCUGCACCAUCGACCGAUCCUGAUGUCCUCGGAUGGAUUUGAGUAAGAGCAUAGCUGUUGGGACCCGAAAGAUGG